GGUUUGAUGGUGUAGUUGGUUAUCACGUCAGUCUAACAUGUCCUCGGACGGUUCCACUGAAGGUCGGGAGAUCGAGCCUCCCUCGAAUCA
rnacentral:tRNA from 2 species